rnacentral:rRNA from 1 species
CAGCAGCCGCGGUAAUACGUAGGUGGCAAGCGUUGUCCGGAAUUAUUGGGCGUAAAGGGCUCGCAGGCGGUUUCUUAAGUCUGAUGUGAAAGCCCCCGGCUCAACCGGGGAGGGUCAUUGGAAACUGGGAAACUUGAGUGCAGAAGAGGAGAGUGGAAUUCCACGUGUAGCGGUGAAAUGCGUAGAGAUGUGGAGGAACACUAGUGGCGAAGGCGACUCUCUGGUCUGUAACUGACGCUGAGGAGCGAAAGCGUGGGGAGCGAACAGGAUUAGAUACCCCGUAGUCCCUGUCUCUUAUACA